CUCCCACGUGACAACAGUGGUAUAUAAAAGACAUGUAUCUGAGACCGGAACGUGAGAAACCAACAGAUACUUCUACAGAUGAAGAUCUCCUCCUGCAGCCUUCUCACACCUUCUACUGAACUUCAACAUCAAGUUCUAACAGCUUUCGUGUCGCAAGAAUAGACUCCAGAUCCACUACCAGCUGACCAAGAUGAAGAUCCUCGCUCUUGGUACUUUAAUACGCUUCAUUUCAAACAUUUAUUACAGUUUGAGGAUUAAAUGCUUCUUUAAUGAUAAGUAACUUUAAAACAAAAACCAAAUACGAGGUGUGAGGAAUGAAACUGUGUGUGUGUGAUGCUGUUGUAGGAAAUGAAUCAGUGAGGUGGUGAUGUGAUGAAGUGCAGUUACUGAUACACACCGAUACUGACUUUCUUAUAACAACUCAUCCAGAAGGGGUUCAUCCUUUUUGUCCACUUUUUAUCCGUUUUAUUCACUUAGUCACAUUUAAUAUUCUGAAAUAACCAUGAAAGCAGUUAUGUGACAGUCCCCUCAGUGUUUUCUGUGUUUGUGUCUAAAAAUCUCUUUAUUCUGUUAAUUAUCCUGCAGAUCUUUAAUAAAACUUCACUGUUUGCUG